rnacentral:rRNA from 1 species
GACAGAGGUGCCGAGCGUUAGGCGGAAUCACUGGGCUUAAAGCGUGUGUAGGCGGGCCGUUAAGUGUCUUGUGAAAUCCCCCGGCUCAACCGGGGAAUUGCUGGGCAUACUGGCGGUCUUGAGCAGUUCAGGGGCAGAUGGAACAAGUGGUGGAGCGGUGGAAUGCGCAGAUAUCAGGAGGAACACCCGUGGCGAAAGCGGCUCUCUGGAACGGUACUGACGCUGAGACGCGAAGGCGUGGGGAGCGAACAGG